AAGUCGUAACAAGGUUUCCGUAGGUGAACCUGCGGAAGGAUCAUUAGCGAGUGGUUUUCGUCGCGAGACGAGCUGCCCCGACCUGUUGUCAUUCGGAUUGGGGGGGUGUUGGAGGGAGGUUUUGGGUUUGUGGUUUUUGGGGUGACCCGGAAGGGGCGCUCCUGGCCCGGCCCGGGCCGCCAGCCGCCCCGGCAUCAUAUACUUCGGCGGAAGAGGUAGGCGUGACCUGCCCGCCGCCGGCCGCAACGACGACACAUCUUUUUGAGAACCUGAAGUCUGAGGCGAAGAUGAAAACAGAAGCAAAACUUUCAACAACGGAUCUCUUGGCUCUG
rnacentral:misc_RNA from 1 species